rnacentral:rRNA from 1 species
CCUACGGGAGGCAGCAGUGGGGGAUAUUGCACAAUGGAGGAAACUCUGAUGCAGCGACGCCGCGUGAGUGAAGAAGGUCUUCGGAUCGUAAAACUCUGUCCUUGGUGAAGAAAAGGACGGUAGCCAAGGAGGAAGCCCCGGCUAACUACGUGCCAGCAGCCGCGGUAAUA